rfam:Gorilla gorilla gorilla genomic chromosome, chr6, whole genome shotgun sequence
ACUCAUUUGGCUGAGUGGUUAAGGUACUGGACUUAAGAUCCAAUGGAGUAGUGACUGUGUGGGUUUAAACCCCACUACUGGUA